UUAGAGUUUGAUCCUGGCUCAAGAUGAACGCUAGCGGCAGGCCUAACACAUGCAAGUCGAGGGGCAGCACUUCGGGUGGCGACCGGCGCACGGGUGAGUAACGCGUAUGUAACCUGCCCAUCAGUUAGGGAUAGCCCAGUGAAAACUGGAUUAAUACCUAAUGCAAUGUAAUGACAGCAUUCGAAUUACAUUAAAGAUUAAUCGCUGAUGGAUGGACAUGCGUAAGAUUAGCUAGUUGGCGGGGUAACGGCCCACCAAGGCGACGAUCUUUAGGGGUUCUGAGAGGAAGGUCCCCCACAUUGGUACUGAGACACGGACCAAACUCCUACGGGAGGCAGCAGUGAGGAAUAUUGGUCAAUGGGCGGAAGCCUGAACCAGCCAAGUCGCGUGAAGGAUGAAGGUAUUAUGUAUUGUAAACUUCUUUAGCAGCAGAGUAAUAAGGCGGUCGUGACCGCCGAUGCAAGUAUGCUGAGAAUAAGGAUCGGCUAACUCCGUGCCAGCAGCCGCGGUAAUACGGAGGAUCCGAGCGUUAUCCGGAUUUAUUGGGUUUAAAGGGUGCGCAGGCGGCGUUUUAAAUCCAGUGGUCAAAUCGUGAGGCUCAACCCUCUUCCCGCCCAUGAAUACUGGAGCGCUUGAUUGGCGGUCGGGGCCGGCGGGAAUUCGUGGUGUAGCGGGGAAAAUGCAAAGAUAUCCGGAAGAACGCCGGUGGCGAAGGCGGCCACCUGGACUACAACUGACGCUGAGGUGCGAAAGCGUGGGGUAGCAAACAGGAUUAGAUACCCUGGUAGUCCACGCCGUAAACGAUGGAUGCUGGAUGCCGGCUCCUUGAGGGUCGGUGUCGUAGCCAACGCGAUAAGCAUCCCGCCUGGGGAGUACGGUCGCAAGGCUGAAACUCAAAGAAAUUGACGGGGGCCCGCACAAGCGGUGGAGUAUGUGGUUUAAUUCGAUGCAACGCGAAGAACCUUACCCAGGCUUGACAUCCAGGGGACCCUAAUGAAAGUUAGGGGUGCCCUUCGGGGAACCCUGAGACAGGUGCUGCAUGGCUGUCGUCAGCUCGUGUCGUGAGAUGUUGGGUUAAGUCCCGCAACGAGCGCAACCCCUAUGAUCAGUUACUAACGCGUAAUGGCGAGGACUCUGAUAAGACUGCCGGGGACAACUCGGAGGAAGGUGGGGACGACGUCAAAUCAUCAUGCCCCUUAUGACCUGGGCUACAAACGUGCUACAAUGGUGGCUACAAAGAGGAGCGAGCCUGUAAAGGUAAGCGGAUCUCAAAAAAACCAUCCCAGUUCGGAAUGUGGGCUGCAACCCGCCCACACGAAGUCGGAGUUGCUAGUAAUCCCGAAUCAGAAUGUCGGGGUGAAUGAAAGGCCGGGUCUUGCACACACCGCCCGUCAAG
rnacentral:rRNA from 1 species